GCACCGUCCGACGGUUUAUCGGCACCGGGCCUCCGAAGUCUGGUCGGCUGGUUCGACUCCAGCACGGUGUAC
rnacentral:tRNA from 1 species